UUUAACACGUUUAGUUGUAUUGUGUAGUGGAAAGAGGCCCGGCGACGUGAGAAGGCCCAAGUGUGACGGUAAUUCUACCGUUGUGUUUCCAACUGGCAGAAGCCGCCGGGCCGCAGUUUUCCCAUCUGAAGACGGAGCUAGUGUCUGUCCUUGUGGUGAAGACGCAGUGAAACAGUGCAAGAAAACUGAGGCACAGAGAGAUUGUCACGCAGCCAGUAAGGCGCUGAUGCCCUCUAAGGUGCAUGCGUGUCAGUGUUUGUGAACAGCACAUGCUUUGGUCAUCUCCUCUGUGGGAUCAGGUUUCUUUCAAAAUGACGAUUCACACAGUGAUUGUAACUGUUGUGAUAAGCCAGGUUCUAGUUUACAUAGUUUUAUUCCAGAAGGAAAAAAAAACCACUUUGCCUAGAAUUUUCCAAACAAAUCAACUUUUGCUCUGUGAGUAAUCCAGGGCCUAUCAAGACUACAUUUUAGG